rnacentral:rRNA from 1 species
GACGAACGCUGGCGGCGUGCUUAACACAUGCGAGUCGAACGGAAAGGCCCUGCUUUUGUGGGGUGCUCGAGUGGCGAACGGGUGAGUAACACGUGAGUAACCUGCCCUUGACUUUGGGAUAACUUCAGGAAACUGGGGCUAAUACCGGAUAGGAGCUCCUGCUGCAUGGUGGGGGUUGGAAAGUUUCGGCGGUUGGGGAUGGACUCGCGGCUUAUCAGCUUGUUGGUGGGGUAGUGGCUUGCCAAGGCUUUGACGGGUAGCUGGCCUGAGAGGGUGACCGGCCACAUUGGGACUGAGAUACGGCCCAGACUCCUACGGGAGGCAGCAGUGGGGAAUAUUGCACAAUGGGCGGAAGCCUGAUGCAGCAACGCCGCGUGCGGGAUGACGGCCUUCGGGUUGUAAACCGCUUUCGCCUGUGACGAAGCGUGAGUGACGGUAAUGGGUAAAGAAGCACCGGCUAACUACGUG